rnacentral:rRNA from 1 species
CCUACGGGUGGCAGCAGUGAGGAAUAUUGGUCAAUGGGCGAGAGCCUGAACCAGCCAAGUCGCGUGAGGGAGUACUGCCCUAUGGGUUGUAAACCUCUUUUGUCGGGGAGCAAAAGCCGGACGUGUCCGGCUGUGAGAGUACCCGAAGAAAAAGCAUCGGCUAACCCCGUGCCAGCAGCCGCGGUAAUACGGAGGAUUCGAGCGUUAUCCGGAUUUAUUGGGUUUAAAGGGUGCGCAGGCGGAUUUUUAAGUCAGCGGUAAAAUCGUGGGGCUCAACCCCAUCCAGCCGUUGAAACUGGGGAUCUAGAGUGUGCGAGAGGUAUGCGGAAUGCGUGGUGUAGCGGUGAAAUGCAUAGAUAUCACGCAGAACCCCGAUUGCGAAGGCAGCAUACCGGUGCACAACUGACGCUCAGGCACGAAAGCGUGGGUAUCGAACAGGAUUAGAUACCCGAGUAGUC